rnacentral:rRNA from 1 species
GCUUACGGCCACACCCCCGCCUGGUUCACGCCCGAUCUCGUUUGAUCUCGGAAGCUAAGAUAGGUUGGGCCUGGUUAGUACUUGGAUGGGGAGACCGCCUGGGAAUACCAGGUGCUGUAAGCU